rnacentral:rRNA from 1 species
GACGAGGGACCUAGCGUUGUUCGGAAUUAUUGGGCGUAAAGCGGGUGUAGGCGGACUUAUAAGUCAGGUGUGAAAUCCCAGGGCUCAACCCUGGAAGUGCACUUGAUACUGCAAGUCUUGAAUGUGGUAGAGGCUAUUAGAAUUCCUGGUGUAGUGGUGAAAUACGUAGAUAUCAGGAGGAAUACCGGAGGCGAAGGCGGAUAGCUGGGCCAACAUUGACGCUGAGACCCGAAAGCGUGGGGAUCAAACAGG